UACGGGGGGCAAGCGUUGUUCGGAAUUACUGGGCGUAAAGGGCUCGUAGGUGGCCAACUAAGUCAGACGUGAAAUCCCUCGGCUUAACCGGGGAACUGCGUCUGAUACUGGAUGGCUUGAGUUUGGGAGAGGGACGCGGAAUUCCAGGUGUAGCGGUGAAAUGCGUAGAUAUCUGGAGGAACACCGGUGGCGAAGGCGGCGUCCUGGACCAACACUGACACUGAUGAGCGAAAGCCAGGGGAGCAAACGGG
rnacentral:rRNA from 1 species